GAAGAACCUUACCAGGUCUUGACAUCCUUUGACCAUUNUGGAGACAGAACUUUCCCUUCGGGGACAAAGUGACAGGUGGUGCAUGGUUGUCGUCAGCUCGUGUCGUGAGAUGUUGGGUUAAGUCCCGCAACGAGCGCAACCCUUGAUUUUAGUUGCCAGCAUUUAGUUGGCCAUUCUAAAGUGACUGCCGGUGUAAANACGGAGGAAGGUGGGGAUGACGUCAAAUCAUCAUGCCCCUUAUGACCUGGGCUACACACGUGCUACAAUGGAUAAUACAAAGGGUCGCGAAGCCGCGAGGUGGAGCCAAUCCCAUAAAAUUAUUCUCAGUUCGGAUUGCAGGCUGCAACUCGCCUGCAUGAAGCCGGAAUCGCUAGUAAUCGUAGAUCAGCAUG
rnacentral:rRNA from 1 species